AACCCUAAACCCUUGAGUGUUUUAGUGUUUAGUGUUUUUGAUUUAGAGUUUAGGAUUUACCCAGGGGUUUAGGUUUAUCCAAGGGUUUAGGGUUUACUCAAGGGUUUAGGUUUUAAAAUUUAGGGUUUAGGUAUUAGGAUUUAGGUUUAGUUUUUUCUUGACGACGUUAAAAAUAUUUUUUUUGUAAUUACUACUAUUUUUUUAUUUGUUUUUUUUAUCUUUUUAUUUUAAAAACAUAAUAUAACUUGACAAUAUUUUGUUUCUUUUUAUUAAAGGUAUCAAAUAUAAAA
rnacentral:lncRNA from 1 species